rnacentral:lncRNA from 1 species
GAGACAGAGUAGCAUACAUGAACGCCUUUGCAGCUGAAGAGCAUGAUUAUCCUACAGCAUCAGUGGGAUGGGAAAAUGCCUAACUUAAGAGCAAGCCACUCAGAGAACUGAGCACUCACUGCAGAGAGACAAGGAAGAGCCACAGAGGGGGUUGUGGUGUGUAGGGUGGCAGUCUGCUGGUUUUAAAACUUUUACAAUGGAUUCUGCUGUCAUGACGAUUUUAAACUGAUAUACUGUAAAACUGAUAAACUAUACUGACAUUAAUGGACUUGCUCCUGGUUUAUGCUUGAUUCAGCCCGGGAGUAAGGUUUCUGGGUUUACAAGUGAUCUUGAAAAAGUAAAAAUGAAUAGAGAUCUUGAUACUUUCGGAAAGCCAAUGCUGCACAGUCAGCCCUAGCAUCUUCUGUAAUAACAGGAACAAUACGUUGAUACUGUUGGAAACAAGAUACCAAAUAACAGACAAGUAUAGGAGACAAGUCAUGUUGUGGCUGUUGAAUGGCUCUUAUGCACAACUGAUUGACCAAGUGGCCAAAGAAAUGCUUCCACAACUGCUGUGUGCUGCUGGCUUUUUCUCCACUGAAAAUAGAAGGAACAGAAAGAUAAGAGUAAAACAAAAUGGACAAACAAAACAGACAAUCAACUGUUGGCAUCAGAGAUAGAUCUGAUGAACCUGGUGUGUUUUCUGACAAAAGAUUGGUUGAAGAGCUGAAGAAUAACAAAACCUAUACACCUGAGUGGCAUUUUUCAGCUCUGCAAUUUGUUUGUUCUUUUAUUUGCAGUUUUACAAUGUCUGUGAAAAUUAUGGUAACUAGUUCUGAAGACCUGAAUUUCAUGCUUUAUGCUUUCAUGCAUGGAAUUAUCUAUGUUAACAUUGGGUAAAAGGGAAAAUAGAGAAAAAAACAUCACGUGAUUGAUCUGACCAUAAUAUUCUGUUCUGAUUAUCGUAACACAUAUAAGGUAUUUACAGAAGCUCCUUUUAUUAAUUUAGCAGAAAGUAUGAUAUACCUGCUGCUUCUUGUAUUUCAUGUGCAGUGACUGCCAUUCCUUACAAAAGUUGAAGAUCAAAUGGAAAUCUUAAUAAAAGUUUGUUCUCAAAAGCCAAAAAUCAGACCUCUGUUAGAAAUUUUCUGAACUACUUGGAAGAAUAAAUAAGUUGGCAUAGAAAACAAAACAUAAUCAAAUAGGAACAAAAGUUUACUUUGAAAAACCUUAAUAAAUUCUUGUAAAUAUUUUGCAGAACUCAGAAAACUGCAAGUGUGGAAGGAGUAUUUCUCUCUCUCUUUUUAUUUAAGGAAUAAAAGUUAGAUUGGCACUUUAAAAAAAUCCAUUAAUUACCACUAUUUAUAUUUUAUAAAUGGAAAAAUAAACACAUAAUGAGAAGAUGAUCAAAUAGCAGAAGUGGAAGCAGCAUCCUUCAUGGGGGAAGACAGUGGCCAUGGAGGAGCAGCAGAGACAAAACAUUAAGGACUGACCACAGCCCCAUCCCCUGUCCCUCCUGCUCAUCUUGGGGGGAGGAGGUUGACGUUUCAGGCAUAAAGUUAAGUUGAGCCUUGAGAGCAGAGGUUGUAGGAGAAAAGUGUUUUUAGAUUUGCUUUGUUUUCACUGUUCAACCCUGUCAUUAACUGGCAAUAAACUGACUUCGUCUUCCAAAAGCUGGGAUGGUAGCUGGUGAGAGAUCUCCCUGUCCCUGUCUCAACCCACAAGCUGUUUGAUCAUAUUUUCUCCCUGCUUGUUGAGGUACCAGAUCCCCCUUCCCUGAUGCUGACACAACCAUCUGCCUUACGCCAAGCACAGAGGAAGGUCCGGCGGCUUGAAUAAGACACGGCGAUGCUCUGUGAUGACGCAGGAACUGGGAUAAUUGAGUUUUCAGCAGGUCCCCUCAUAGUGGGUUUACCUGCGUAGGCAGAAGAGCUUAAGUCCUGCAUGGUACAGGUCAGUGCCUCGCUUUUGUGUGCUCCUCUCUUCUCACAGCACAUCCCUACGUGCUCAGCAUCGGUGCUCAGCGGGAAGAACGAGAGGAGCGCUGGUAUCAUUAAUACUACUAUUAAUUUUAUUUGAGAGAGAGAAGGACAUGCUUGGAAAGACAGAAACAGAGAAGAACACGGAAGCAUAGUCUGAGCCUAGUCAAAGCUCAGGAACGUGCCCGAUUCAUCAAGCUGCACCCCAAGAGUCAUCUCGAUGGUGAAGGUGCUCUUGGAGGGGGUGGUCAGCUUGAUCUUGCAGGAGUGGUCGGAGGGCACCAGCUCCAGGCCCCAGUCACGCGACUGAGGCAGACAAUUCCAGGCUGCUUUCACCCGCUUCUGGAACCAGCGCGUGGUUUUCUGCACGUCCAGGUAGGAGGCCCUGCACAAGGUGUUGAGGAGGCUGGCUUCCUGGUUUUCUCUCAGCUCCCUCCGAGUGUGGUGGAGAAAGCAGAGCAUGUCCC